rnacentral:siRNA from 1 species
CUGCAAUGCCAUUCGGGAUACCUA